CGGAAAGGCGCCCGGCGGAAGUCACGCCCCCAAACUGUCAAGCGCAGCGCCCGGUGGCAGGGGCCCGGGCCGGGGGGGAGGAAAGGUUCCGGCGGCCCCAGGGAGGCGCCUUUCUUCUAGUUGCCUCCUGGGGGCUGUUCCUAGUGGUGGUGACUGCCUUCCCCACCUCAGAACUUCACAGAGAAGGUGUAGAGGAUGGUGUCACUCAAAAUAAACCAACACGUGCCUCUUCAGAAAAAAAACGCAGGACAGAUUUCCUACCUCAUCAAGGAAGUCUUCAAAAUAGAAAAACGCUGUGCAAGAAUGAUGAGACCUGUAUCAAGAGCCAUGUGGCAGUGUCCAAUCUGAACCUUCCAAAGAUGACUGAAAAAGAUGGAUGCUUCCAAACUGGAUAUAAUCGGGACAACUGCCUUGUGUGAAUCACCUCUGGGCUUCUGGAGUUUCAGAUGUACCUGAAGUACAUCCGGAACAAGUUUCAGGAAAGCAGGAACAGGGACAGAGCCAAACGUGUGCAGAACAGUUCCAAAACCCUGAUUGAGAUCCUGAAAAAAGAGGUGAAGGAUCCCAAUAAAAUAGUCUUCCCUAGCCCAACUGCAAAUAUCAACCUGUUGGCAAAACUGGAGUCACAGAAUGAUUGUCAGAAGGUCAUGACCAUGCAACUCAUCUUGAGCAACUUUGAGGAUUUCCUGCAGUUCACCCUGAGAGCUAUUUGGAAAGCAUAGUGUGGGCAUCUAAGCUAAUUGGUUCAUGGACAUUCCUUCCUAUGGUCAGAAAACAUGUCCUGUCCACUGGGUUCUUAUUAAGUUGCUGAGGCUGAACUGAAACUUGUGAACCUCCUGACUUAGCCUCCUGAGCCGCUGGGAUUACAGAUCCAAAUUUCCACCCACAGCCACAUGUAUGAUUUGCCUCUUGGAAGAAAGGACACAUCCAAGUGACAAUGCAUCUGAGAACACCUUAACUUCUUCCUAUCACAGCUGAUUCACUGAAAGUCAGAGGGAAGUGGGACUUACCCAAGGUCACUCAGCAACUAGUGGCAGAGGUCUUAACAUCAAAGGGGCUUUCUGUGAGAGUGUCUUCAAGGCAUACAGGGUGGAGGAUGAACUUUUGUGCAGCCCAGUUACAGUUAUCAGCUUGCACCCAUAAUUCUCUGCCCCCACCCCCGGGAAGCUGGCAUCUGAACCUGAGGUCAAGAACUGAUAAAUCCGUGGCUGGCACGGAAUCUCCUUCUGAACAGAGUGUCACCAUAGCAACCAGGAGAUCUUCUCCACUCCUUCAACCUGAAAGUCCCCAAGAGAGGCACUGCCUCUGCCUCCAGAAGCUAAGGACCAUACGUUAACUGCUGCUCCUGACACUGAAUUCCGAAGAUUUCCUCCAUAUUCCAAGGACAGAGCAGGUGGACUGCUUUUGAGUUUUUGCUGUAAAGCCCCCAUGAGGAGAGAGUGCUAUGGAAAACAAGUUUUCAGAUCCCGAGGGGGAAAUGGGAAAGAACUUCCGGAAUUAGGACCUGGAGAGGGCAAUGUGACAGGGAAGCAGUCAGAUGCCAAGUCCAAACCUCCAGAGAUAGCUUGGUUAGAAACAACACUUCUGCAGUGUCCCCCCCAAGCCAUCUUGGAGGAGACUCUGGCUACCUCAGUUCCAGAUUACCACUGCCCUUCCUAGGCAGACCGGCCAUAUCUGAGGGAGCCAUCUGGCAUCAAAUGGACCAGAGGUACAGUGUCCUGACUGACCACGACCACGCAGGUAACCUGAGCUACGAGCAGGGUGGUCUGAACAUGGAGGCCGCAGUGAGAGGACUUUGAAAAGAGACGGAGGCCCAGGACCAUUGGCUUCCACAGCAGGAGCAAGCAGGCCAACUCAAAGGGGGACGAAUUGGUCCGAUUGUCCCACUGUCCCAGAAGUGGAACAACUGCAAAAACUUAAAUAUAGCCUCUAAUAGAACAGUAUUUCAGAUAGCUAUCUAAAAGAAUGCAAUUUUAGUAUAAUAAUUAUAAUACAUUAAUU